CGGCGGACGGGUGAGUAACGCGUGAGGAACCUGCCUCAAAGAGGGGGACAACAGUUGGAAACGACUGCUAAUACCGCAUAAGCCCACGGCUCGGCAUCGAGCAGAGGGAAAAGGAACAAUCCGCUUUGAGAUGGCCUCGCGUCCGAUUAGCUAGUUGGUGAGGUAACGGCCCACCAAGGCGACGAUCGGUAGCCGGACUGAGAGGUUGAACGGCCACAUUGGGACUGAGACACGGCCCAG
rnacentral:rRNA from 1 species